AUGCUUGCUUCAGAAGCACAUAUACUAAAAUGAUGCAGAGAAGAUUAGCACAGCCCCUGCGCAAGGAUAACAUGCAAAUUUGUGAAGCAUUCCAUAUUUUU
rnacentral:snRNA from 1 species